AGGAGGAUUGAGAAAGUUAAGCAGCUGCUUUUGUUCUGCAUUAACUGGUUAUAACCUCCUAGAAAAAAAACACAAGUGCUAAAGUGCUGUUAAUUGUCUGUAUGAAGUAGUCAUUGCAAUACUUGUGUACAUUUA